rnacentral:snRNA from 1 species
AUCGCUUCUUGGCCUUUAGGCUAAGAUCAAGUGUAGUAUCUGUUCUUAUUUUAAAAUGACUGCCAAAUUUUUGUCUGUCCCAUGCUUAGUGAUGCAUACACAAC